GACGAACGCUGGCGGCGUGCCUAAUACAUGCAAGUAGAACGCUGAAGAGAGGAGCUUGCUCUUCUUGGAUGAGUUGCGAACGGGUGAGUAACGCGUAGGUAACCUGCCUUGUAGCGGGGGAUAACUAUUGGAAACGAUAGCUAAUACCGCAUAACAAUGGAUGACCCAUGUCAUUUAUUUGAAAGUGGCAAAUGCUCCACUACAAGAUGGACCUGCGUUGUAUUAGCUAGUAGGUGAGGUAACGGCGCACCUAGGCGACGAUACAUAGCCGACCCGAGAGGGGGAUCGGCCAAGCUGGGACGGGGACACGGCCCAGCAUCCUGCGAGAGGCAGCAGUAGGGAAUCUUCGGCAAUGGGAGCAACGCUGAACGAGCAACGCCGCGGGAGUGAAGAAGGCUGUCGGGUCGUAAAGGUCUGUUGUGAGUUAAGAACGAAUGUGAGAGUGGAAAGUUCACACUGUGACGGUAGCUUACCAGAAAGAUACGGCUAACUACGUG
rnacentral:rRNA from 1 species